rnacentral:lncRNA from 1 species
AGGAAUAGGAGGGGUGAGUAACAGGGGAGUUACUCCGUGAGGUAUGGGGAUGCUAAACACGCAAACCACUGACUUGAGUAAAUAGAACUCCCACUAUGGAAGUUUAGCUCUAACAUGAACAAACUAGACGCCUAAAGCAUCACACAAACACAACACAAACAAUGCGAUGAUUGCAUAUAGCUAGUCCAUACACCCCGCAUCUCCUCAUAUGGAUAUA